CAGCAUCAAGCAAUACAACAGAAGGGGUCUUAGAAGCAGAAUUUAGAAGCAGAUCAACAGUGAGGGGAGUCUGGAGCCCAAAGCCGACUGUGGGACCGCUGUCUCACUCAACAACUCCUAGCCCAUGGGCACUGCCAGAGUGUGCUGGGUGGGGCACACUCUCUCUACUGGGUGGGGCUGGGUUGACUGCUGGGCUGGUCAGGCCACAGGCAGGAAGCUCGGUGUCUCUGGGAAGACUCUUAGCAGAAGGGAGGGAAGAAUCGAGGGAGGUCUUUGGGACUUGUCUGCACACCGCACAGAGGCUUUCUGCAGGGAUGCCAACCAAGGGCAAGGAGGAGAGGGAAGCUCCAGGCUGGGUGGGAGCACACUGCCAGCCAGCUGUGGUGUCAAGAUGCCGUAAGAACGCUCACUGGGACGCCCACAGUGUCACAGGCACUGGGCCAGGCCUUCUCCACGCAGAAACUAAAUGAGGAUGGUGGCCUUCGAGUCUGCAGUCUGGAGUCUGGCCAGCAAACACCCUGCGUCUCCCCCACUGCUGAGAGCAGAGGCCUGUGGAGCCCAGCCAGCAGCCUCCCCACCCUGACCUUCCUCCUGCUACCGGAAGGUGAGGUGCAUGACCCCCUCCUCCAGCCUGACACCCCACCUCAGCAGGGAGGCACUCCCCUGCCCCACCCUGGGCUCAGCCUCCUCACAGGCAGCUCAGGGUUCCCUGCUUCAGGCUGCAAAGACAAUCUUCAGCCAGGAAGGAAAAGCAGACUCCAGGCUCUUUACCUGCUAGUGGAGACUGGGUGCUUGAACCCGGGUCCUUGUGCACUGUGAUGUGUGUGCUCAACCGGGUGUGCCUGUCUUCAGCUCAUGGAAACCGCAGGGUCCUCUCAGGGCCCCAGCCACCAGGUUCCAGAUACUAGCAUGAUGCCAACCAGACUUCCCUGGACAGACAACCCCACCAAUGUGUCCUGGAGCUCCGAUUCCCCAGAACCCUGCCCCACCAGGGAAAGAGAGAGACAUGCUGGGAGUAUGGAUCGACCUGUCAACGCUCAUGUUCAGUGGGGAAGCAAUUACAGAAGCCAGACAUUCCACCUUCUGCAUCCCACAAUAACUGGGUCCAUGUUCUCAGAGGGAUAAAGAAUAGGAAAGCUAUCAGGGGAGGGGAUGGGAUACGGAGAUCUGGUGGUGGAAAUUGUGUGGAGCUGUACCCCUCUUAUCCUAUGGUUUUAUCAGUGUUUCUUUUUAUAAAUAAAAAUUAAAAAAGAAAGAAAGAAAAAGAA